GACGAACGCUGGCGGCGUGCUUAACACAUGCAAGUCGAACGGAAAGGCCCUGCUUGCAGGGUACUCGAGUGGCGAACGGGCGAGUAACACGUGGGUGAUCUGCCCUGCACUUCGGGAUAAGCCUGGGAAACUGGGUCUAAUACCGGAUAGGAGCCAUAUUUAGUGGGAUGGUUGGAAAGUUUUUUCGGUGUAGGAUGAGCUCGCGGCCUAUCAGCUUGUUGGUGGGGUAAUGGCCUACCAAGGCGGCGACGUGUAGCCGGCCUGAGAGGGUGGACGGCCACACUGGGACUUAGAUACGGCCCAGACUCCUACGGGAGGCAGCAGUGGGGAAUCUUGCACGAGGGGCGCAAGCCGGAUGCAGCGACGCCGCGUGGCGGAUGACGGUCUUCGUGUUGUAAACUCCUUUCGCUAGGGACGAAGCUUUUUGUGACGGUACCUAGACAAGAAGCACCGGCUAACUACGUG
rnacentral:rRNA from 1 species